rnacentral:rRNA from 1 species
GGAAUUGUUCGCAAUGGGCGCAAGCCUGACGACGCAACGCCGCGUGGAGGAUGAAGGUCUUCGGAUUGUAAACUCCUGUUGCCCGGGACGAAAAGCUCCGACCUAACACGUCGGAGUCUGCCGGUACCGGGGGAGGAAGCCCCGGCUAACUCUGGGCCCGCAGCCGCGGUAAUACAGAGGGGGCAAGCGUUGCUCGGAAUCACUGGGCGUAAAGGGCGCGUAGGCGGGAUGGCAAGUCAGUCGUGAAAUCUCUCGGCUCAACCGAGAAACGUCGGCUGAUACUGCCGUUCUUGAGGGAUGCAGAGGAGACUGGAAUUCCCGGUGUAGCGGUGAAAUGUGUAGAGAUCGGGAGGAACACCGGUGGCGAAGGCGGGUCUCUGGGCAUUUCCUGACGCUGAGGCGCGAAAGCGUGGGGAGCAAACGGG